AGAUAAUUUUUAUCGCAUACUACUAUUUGCAUUAUAUUCCUUUUAUUGUUGCCUGUAAAUCUGGCUUCUACGGGCAAAGCUGCUCUAUGAACUGUCACUGCGACACGUGCCAUCACGUCAAUGGAUCCUGCUUAAUGUCUCUUCAAUGCCACGAUGGAUUCAAGAUGGAAAAUGGUUUCUGUACACAACACAAACAGAUAGGAGAAAGUAGUACCGUAAACGUGGCUGGAAUAGUUGGCGGUUGCGUCGCAGCUGUUGUUAUUAUAAUAGGAAUGACUUUAUUAACCUUAUAUUGCAGGCGGCAAAAGCUACAUGCUAAAGAAUGUCAUACUAAAAUAUCUACAUCGGCAAAGAUAGAGACAAGUUUCUAUACGAGAUUUGAUCAUCUCGAUCGGGCUAAUGAUGGUAAAAACGUCUCCGUAGAAGACAAAGCGAAAGUCGCUUCAACAA